AUUGUUUAGGCAAAACACAUACUAAAAUUGGAAUGAUACAGAGAAGAUUAGCAUGGCUCCUGUGAAAGAACGACACACAAAUUUAUGAAGCGUUCUAUGUUCCA